GACGAACGCUGGCGGCGUGCUUAACACAUGCAAGUCGAACGGUAAGGCCCUUCGGGGUACACGAGUGGCGAACGGGUGAGUAACACGUGGGUGAUCUGCCCUGCACUUCGGGAUAAGCCUGGGAAACUGGGUCUAAUACCGGAUAGGAACUCCUUGGGCAUCCUUGGAGUUGGAAAGUUUUUCGGUCUGGGAUGGGCCCGCGGCCUAUCAGCUUGUUGGUGAGGUAACGGCUCACCAAGGCGACGACGGGUAGCCGGCCUGAGAGGGCGACCGGCCACACUGGGACUGAGACACGGCCCAGACUCCUACGGGAGGCAGCAGUGGGGAAUAUUGCGCAAUGGGCGAAAGCCUGACGCAGCAACGCCGCGUGAGGGAUGACGGCCUUCGGGUUGUAAACCUCUUUCGGCAGGGAAGAAGCGAAAGUGACGGUACCUGCAGAAGAAGCACCGGCUAACUACGUGCCAGCAGCCGCCGUAA
rnacentral:rRNA from 1 species